UACAGAGGGGGCAAGCGUUAUUCGGAAUUAUUGGGCGUAAAGGGCGCGUAGGCGGCUUUGCAAGUGACGGGUGAAAUCCCUCGGCUUAACCGAGGAACUGCCUGUCAAACUGCAUGGCUUGAGACCGGGAGAGGUGAGUGGAAUUCCCAGUGUAGCGGUGAAAUGCGUAGAUAUUGGGAGGAACACCGGUGGCGAAGGCGGCUAUCUGGACCGGUACUGACGCUGAUACGCGAAAGCCAGGGGAGCAAACGGG
rnacentral:rRNA from 1 species